rnacentral:ncRNA from 1 species
UAUGAAAAUAGGUAGAAAUAUGCUGUAUACGCGUGAUAUCAAAUUAACGUUUAAGCGACCUGUAAGAUCGUUGAUUACGAG